rnacentral:lncRNA from 1 species
ACAGAUCACGCCCACCAGGUUGCCUCUUCCUAACCUUCUGCUUCAGCAGAGGGACCACAGCGAGGAAGGAGAGAGUUCCCUAGAUUUUCUACGUUCCAGUCCCUUACAUGAUUGCCAGUGAUUUGCAGGUAUUUUCUCAAGCACCCACCAGCUUAAAAGCCUUCAUCAAAAAACGCAAAAAUCUACAGCUGAGUUUAAAGUUGUGUCGAUUUCGCCCCCUUCGACGCCGAGAGUGUAGAAAGUGUGGGAGAAGGUUUACACCUCCACAGAAUGUGCAGUCGGGGAGGUAAGGUGUAGGGGUGGCGGGGGGGAGCAGUUGGCACCAGAUCUCACCGGAGAGCAGGGCAGAGCCCCACACAGGAGCACAAGCUGCAGGGCCACAUAGCGACGUGGUGUGGUCAGUAGGUGUUCACUCUGGAGAAGAGGAAGCCUCUUAGUAACGAAAAUGUCCUGCACACAGCUUCAAACAGGGACAUUUAUUACACCAAAUAACAGGACGUAGGAUAGGUUCCCAGAUCCUCUCCGCAGCGGUUCAAGGCCAUUUUCAAGUGUGUGCCAAGCUCAGGUGUGGCACUGUCUUUAGCGGUGGCCUACUCCACAACUCCAGGAUGGCUGCCAUAGUGCCAUGAAUCACGGGCAGAACCUCCUGCCAGGGAACAAUAAAGAGCUCUUUAUUAGAGUCCCUCUUUUUUCUUGUAAUAGAGUGACUUUUUUUUUUUUUUGGUACCAGGGAUCGAACUCGGGUCCUUCCGCUUGCGAGGCAGGCGGCAGAACCACUUAGCUAAAUCCCAGGCCCAAAGAGCUCUUUAUUGAGUCUCUUUUUAAAGGCAAGAAGACCCUUCUACUCACAUCUUAUACGACAAAGUAGUCCUUGGCAGCUAAAGUUUAGCCAGUGCCUGUAAGUCAAACAUCAGCAACAUCACCAAACGGGACUGAUCAUUUAGGGUGGAUGGAUGUUGGCAGGCAGUCGUAACCUCUAACCUGAGGGUCUCACCCCCUGGCCUAAGUGGCUUCUCAGAAUAUUCCUCAGACCACACAGUGUCCCCUGAACACCCCUGCCCUGGGCCAGGAGGUAAUGGGCACAGGUUGGCAGUGGAUGUCCAGCACUAGUGGACUCAGGGCAAACACUGGCAGGCGAGGGCACUCCUGUGACCCUCUGUCUCGGAGCUGCCUCUCUCCUAGUGUCUCCCCACUCUGUGUCCCAUGCCCUGCAGCUGCUGUGGUCACCAACACCACAGGCAGAACCGACUCAGCCUGUUUAGGGAGCCACUUCCCCAGCACUGGUCAGCUGCAGUCCCACGAAACAGGAAGAAUUACUCAGCAUGUAAGUGGCCCGAUUCCCUCAGCUGAGUUUUCUUUUCUUUCUUUCUUUCUUUUUUUUUUUUUUUGAG